UGUCAGCUUUUUGCUAUAAAAAGGGCUGCCCACCCCUCUCAUUCCUCACACUCAAACCUCCUCUUCCUCUUAUUUCUCACACUCAACACAUGGAUGAUCCCAUGGGUAGUGAUCCCAACCGGUUCAACUUCAAUACUAGUGACUUAGAUGUUGACAUCCCCGAGUGGAUCGAUCCCACAGCCACAACCCACACAUAUCCUUCUUCCGAUGAGUAUACCGGCAGCCAUUCCACUUCCCAGUCCAGUACCUCCACCUCCAUCGGCACAAAGAGGGUUCGACACAAAACCUCGUCGUGCUGGGAGUAUUUCGUUGAAGAAAUAGUCGUGGAGGACGGUGUCAACGUGCUGAAAGCUCGGUGCAAGAGGUGCGGCCACUUGCUUUCCUCGGGGGGAAAGGAGGAACUGGCCACCUCCUCAGGCACAACCUCAUGCACCAAAACGCGGACAAGCGGUCUGCGGGGACACAGGCCACGCUCAAGUUCAACCCCGACGGUACGGGAAAAAGAAAGGAGCAUGGAGCAAGUUGUUUGGUUCUACCACCUCUGCAACGAGCUCUUCCACAUCAGGCCCAUCGCCUGUGCUUUUGGGUGGUGGGGAGUUAGCGAAGUACCUCAACAGCGAUAAAGUCAACUUCAAUGAAGAGGAAGAGGAAGACUUCGACAUAAUUCAGUGGUGGCAUGAACACAAGCUUACAUAUCCGGUGCUUUCCAUAUUAGCACGGGAUGUAUUAUCAGUACCCGUCUCAUCGACAUCAUCGGAGUCUGCUUUUAGCCUAGCUGGAAGAAUACUUGAGGAAAGAAGAACGAGUUUGACCCCGGAUAUGGUGAGAACACUCAUGGCCGUGAAAGACGGAGAACUAGCCAAAAGGAAAGCCCAACACACCGCUGAAAACAGAGAACUGAUGGCCACGUUCGAAAAUCUCGAAGAUGAUGAAGACGAAUAGUAGUUGUAGUCUUUCUAUUUUCUUUUGUAAUUUUCUUAUGCUUUUGUAUUUUUCUUAUGCUUUUGUAAUUUUCUUUUUCUUCUGUAAUCUAGAGCGUGACUUUGUACUCUUUUACUUCCCAGGGAUGGAAGGUUUUAAUGAGGCAGUCACUAAUAAAGCUCAAGAUUUAUCCCA